rnacentral:tRNA from 1 species
GGGAUAUAGCUUAGUUGGUAGAGUGCUUGCCUAGCAUGCAUAAGGCCCUGGGUUCAAUCCCCAGUCCCA